AUACAGUAAAAUACCUAUAAAUUAAUAAUGUUGAAACUGCAAAAUUUUAUUAAUUUAGAGAGGUUUUAAUUUAUCGAUAAAUUAAUAUGUACUAAUUUAUAAAGAGAUUUUCCUAAUUUAGUAACUUUUAA
rnacentral:sRNA from 1 species